AUUGAACGCUGGCGGCAGGCCUAACACAUGCAAGUCGAGCGGAUGAAGGGAGCUUGCGCCUGGAUUCAGCGGCGGACGGGUGAGUAAUGCCUAGGAAUCUGCCUGGCAGUGGGGGAUAACGUCCGGAAACGGGCGCUAAUACCGCAUACGUCCUGAGGGAGAAAGUGGGGGAUCUUCGGACCUCACGCUAUCAGAUGAGCCUAGGUCGGAUUAGCUAGUUGGUGGGGUAAAGGCCUACCAAGGCGACGAUCCGUAACUGGUCUGAGAGGAUGAUCAGUCACACUGGAACUGAGACACGGUCCAGACUCCUACGGGAGGCAGCAGUGGGGAAUAUUCGGCAAUGGGCGAAAGCCUGAUCCAGCCAUGCCGCGUGUGUGAAGAAGGUCUUCGGAUUGUAAAGCACUUUAAGUUGGGAGGAAGGGCAGUAAGUUAAUACCUUGCUGUUUUGACGUUACCAACAGAAUAAGCACCGGCUAACUUCGUG
rnacentral:rRNA from 1 species